rnacentral:rRNA from 1 species
GUCGUAACAAGGUUUCCGUAGGUGAACCUGCGGAAGGAUCAUUAUUGAAUAAACUUGGUUGGGUUGUUGCUGGCUCUUAGGAGCAUGUGCACGCCUAAUCCAUUUUUAACCACCUGUGCACCUUGUGUAGACUUGAACAACUUUCGAGACAAUGUACUCGGUUUGAGAAUUGCUGCUGUGAAAGCUCAGCUUUUCUUGUGUUCAGGUCUAUGUUUUAUAUUACACUCCAUAAGAAUGUAUUAGAACAAAUGAAUAGGCCAUUGUGCCUUUAAACACAAAUACAACUUUCAACAACGGAUCUCUUGGCUCUCGCAUCGAUGAAGAACGCAGCGAAAUGCGAUAAGUAAUGUGAAUUGCAGAAUUCAGUGAAUCAUCGAAUCUUUGAACGCACCUUGCGCUCCUUGGUACUCCGAGGAGCAUGCCUGUUUGAGUGUCAUGAAAUUCUCAACCUUUCUGGCUUUUACAAAGUUGGUCAGGCUUGGAUUGUGGGGGUUGCUGGCUUCUAAAGUCAGCUCUUCUAAAAUACAUUAGCAAGAUCAUUGCUGCUCAUCACUGGUAUGAUAAUUAUCUAUACUAUUGAUGAGUCGGUUUCCUUUAUGGAGGAUUUUGCUCCUAGCUGUCUUUCAUUAAGACAAUACUUGACCUUUUGACCCCAAUCAGGUAGGACUACCCGCUGAACU